AAGUCGUAACAAGGUCUCCGUAGGUGAACCUGCGGAAGGAUCAUUGAAGAGUAAGGGUGCUCAGCGCCCGACCUCCAACCCUUUGUUGUUAAAACUACCUUGUUGCUUUGGCGGGACCGUCUCGGUCUCCGAGCGCACUAACCCUCGGGUUGGUGAGUGCCCGCCAGAGUCCAACCAAACUCUUGUAUUAAACCAGUCGUCUGAGUAUAAAAUUUUAAUUAAAUUAAAA
rnacentral:misc_RNA from 1 species